AGUGAACGCUGGCGGUAGGCCUAACACAUGCAAGUCGAACGGCAGCACAGUAAGAGCUUGCUCUUACGGGUGGCGAGUGGCGGACGGGUGAGGAAUACAUCGGAAUCUACUUUUUCGUGGGGGAUAACGUAGGGAAACUUACGCUAAUACCGCAUACGACCUACGGGUGAAAGCAGUGGAUCUUCGGACCUUGCGCGAUUGAAUGAGCCGAUGUCGGAUUAGCUAGUUGGCGGGGUAAAGGCCCACCAAGGCGACGAUCCGUAGCUGGUCUGAGAGGAUGAUCAGCCACACUGGAGCUGAGACACGGACCAGACUCCUACGGGAGGCAGCAGUGGGGAAUAGUGGACAAUGGGCGCAAGCCUGAUCCAGCCAGACCGAGUGGGUGAAGAAGGCCUUCGGGUUGUAAAGCCCUUUUGUUGGGAAAGAAAAGCAGCAGGUUAAUACCCCGCGGUUCUGACGGUACCCAAAGAAGAAGCACCGGCUAACUUCGUG
rnacentral:rRNA from 1 species